GGGGUUGGGGAUUUAGCUCAGUGGUAGAGCGCUUGCCUAGCAAGCGCAAGGCCCUGGGUUCGGUCCCCAGCUCCGAAAAAAAAAAAAAAAAAAAAGAAAAAAAAAAAAA
rnacentral:scRNA from 1 species